CCUACGGGGGGCUGCAGUGGGGAAUAUUGGACAAUGGGGGGAACCCUGAUCCAGCCAUGCCGCGUGUGUGAAGAAGGCCCUCGGGUUGUAAAGCACUUUCAGUGAGGAAGAACGCCUGGUGGUUAAUACCCAUCAGGAAAGACAUCACUCACAGAAGAAGCACCGGCUAACUCCGUGCCAGCAGCCGCGGUAAUACGGAGGGUGCGAGCGUUAAUCGGAAUUACUGGGCGUAAAGCGCGCGUAGGCGGCUUGAUAAGCCGGUUGUGAAAGCCCCGGGCUCAACCUGGGAACGGCAUCCGGAACUGUCAAGCUAGAGUGCAGGAGAGGAAGGUAGAAUUCCCGGUGUAGCGGUGAAAUGCGUAGAGAUCGGGAGGAAUACCAGUGGCGAAGGCGGCCUUCUGGACUGACACUGACACUGAGGUGCGAAAGCGUGGGUAGCAAACAGGAUUAGAUACCCCGGUAGUC
rnacentral:rRNA from 1 species